rnacentral:rRNA from 1 species
CUUUGACCUCGGAUCAGGUAGGGAUACCCGCUGAACUUAAGCAUAUCAAUAAGCGGAGGACAAGAAACCAACAGGGAUUGCCCCAGUAACGGCGAGUGAAGCGGCAACAGCUCAAAUUUGAAAUCUGGCUCUUUUAGAGUCCGAGUUGUAAUUUGCAGAGGGCGCUUUGGCUUUGGCAGCGGUCCAAGUUCCUUGGAACAGGACGUCACAGAGGGUGAGAAUCCCGUACGUGGUCGCUGGCUAUUGCCGUGUAAAGCCCCUUCGACGAGUCGAGUUGUUUGGGAAUGCAGCUCUAAAUGGGAGGUACAUUUCUUCUAAAGCUAAAUAUUGGCCAGAGACCGAUAGCGCACAAGUAGAGUGAUCGAAAGAUGAAAAGCACUUUGGAAAGAGAGUCAAACAGCACGUGAAAUUGUUGAAAGGGAAGCGCUUGCAGCCAGACUUGCUUGCAGUUGCUCAUCCGGGCUUUUGCCCGGUGCACUCUUCUGCAGGCAGGCCAGCAUCAGUUUGGGCGGUAGGAUAAAGGUCUCUGUCACGUACCUCUCUUCGGGGAGGCCUUAUAGGGGAGACGACAUACUACCAGCCUGGACUGAGGUCCGCGCAUCUGCUAGGAUGCUGGCGUAAUGGCUGUAA